UACGAAGGGGGCUAGCGUUGUUCGGAUUUACUGGGCGUAAAGCGCACGUAGGCGGAUUGUUAAGUCAGGGGUGAAAUCCCGGAGCUCAACUCCGGAACUGCCUUUGAUACUGGCAAUCUUGAGGCUGGAAGAGGUUAGUGGAAUUCCCAGUGUAGAGGUGAAAUUCGUAGAUAUUCGGAAGAACACCAGUGGCGAAGGCGGCUCACUGGUCCGGUACUGACGCUGAGGUGCGAAAGCGUGGGGAGCAAACAGG
rnacentral:rRNA from 1 species